AUCACUUUUUAAUAUAUAUUUAAUACCUGUAGAUCAUCUUUUUUGUUUAAAAAUUUUAUAUGACAAAAAUACCACUAUCCUUUGGUUAUGACAUCUCUUCAUAAAAAUUAUGACACUCCUACUCUUUGAAAAAAAUUAUGACACUCCUUCUUAAAAAUUACGACACUCCUUCACAAAAAUUAUGACAUCCCUUCAUAAAAAUUAUG
rnacentral:lncRNA from 1 species